rnacentral:rRNA from 1 species
GAUGAACGCUAGCGGCAGGCUUAAUACAUGCAAGUCAAGGGGGUAGCAAUACAACCGGCGCACGGGUGAGUAACGCGUACACAACAUACCAUAUACUGGAGUAUAGCUUUGGGAAACUGAAGGUAAUCCUCCAUAACAUUGCGAGAGGGCAUCUGAUUGCAAUUAAAGUUUCGGCGGUAUAUGAUUGGUGUGCGUUUGAUUAGCUAGUUGGUAGGGUAACGGCCUACCAAGGCGACGAUCAAUAGCUGGCGUGAGAGCGCGACCAGCCACACUGGAACUGAGACACGGUCCAGACUCCUACGGGAGGCAGCAGUAGGGAAUAUUGGACAAUGGAGGAAACUCUGAUCCAGCCAUGCCGCGUGAUAGAUGAAGGCCCUCUGGGUUGUAAAUAUCUUUUAUCUGGGAAGAAACACUCCUAUUCUUAGGAACUUGACGGUACCAGAGGAAUAAGGCACCGGCUAACUCCGUGCCAGCAGCCGCGGUAAU